GACGAACGCUGGCGGCGUGCCUAAUACAUGCAAGUCGAGCGCUGAAGGAUGGUACUUGUACUAACUGGAUGAGCAGCGAACGGGUGAGUAACGCGUGGGGAAUCUGCCUUUGAGCGGGGGACAAUAUUUGGAAACGAAUGCUAAUACCGCAUCAAAACUUUAAAGACAAGUUUUAAGUUUGAAAGAUGCAUUUCCAUCACUCAAAAAUGAUCCCGCGUUGUAUUAGCUAGUUGGGGAGGUAAAGGCUCACCCAGGCGUUGAUACAUAGCCGGCCUGGGAGGGAGAACGGCCACAUUGGGACCGGGAAACGGGCCAAGAUCCUACGGGGAGGAGCAGGAGGGAAUCUUCGGAAAAGGAGGGAAGGCUGACCGCAGAACGCCGGGGGGGGGGAGGAGGGUCUCGGGUCGUAAAAGUCCUUUGGUAGGGAAGAACGUGGGGGAGGGUGAAAAGCUCAUCAAGUGACGGUAACUACACAGAAAGGGACGGCUAACUACGUG
rnacentral:rRNA from 1 species